CAUUGUUGUAGUGAGUUUGUUUCUCUACCUGUAUGCUAAAAUAUUUUAAUGAUGGUUGCCCAGUUGCUAUGGUUUUCUUAGUAUUAUAUUAUUUCUCGGUAUAUCUACCAUUUUGCAGUUUGGUAACCUGUCUAACACACCCUUGAACGACAACAUUCACUGCAGUCAUGAAAAACUUGACCGCAACGUUAUUGAUGGUUUUGUUACUUGUUGGAAGCGUACAGGCUUUAACAAGUGGAGCAAGAACUGGCGUUAGGCGGGGAAAGAAAGAAGUCAAGGCUUCUACACUGAGCAAAGAAAACAUGCAAGCGAAAAAAGACGUUGAACGAAUUUACAAAGAGAUUGGAAGUACCUUCAAAGUUCAGAGAGAAAAACUGAAAUACUGAUGGAAGUUGAUAAAAAUGUGAUGUAAAUUUAAAUAACAUAAAGAUUCUCAAUUUAAUUGA